rnacentral:rRNA from 1 species
UAAUAUUGCAGAUCGAAGAUUUAUCUUCGACAAGUCUACUGUGUCACUGCCCUAUCAACUUUCGAUGGUACGGUAUUGGCCUACCAUGGUUGUAACGGGUAACGGGGAAUUAGGGUUCGAUUCCGGAGAGGGAGCCUGAGAAAUGGCUACCACUUCUACGGAAGGCAGCAGGCGCGCAAAUUACUCAAUCCCAAUACGGGGAAGUASUGACAAUAAAUAUCGAUGCCUAACCAUUUUUGGAAGGGUAAUUGAAAUGAACACAAAUUAAAACUCUUAAUUAAUACAAUUGGAGGGCAAGUCUGGUGCCAGCAGCCGCGGUAAUUCCAGCUCCAAUAGCAUAUACUAAAGUUGUUGCAGUUAAAAAGCUCGUAGUUGAAGUUAAAGCUUUAUUUGGGUUAAAAAUUCAUUUACCGCUUUAUUGGCUUAAAUCGAAUUCCAGUAUUGCUUUUUUAAAGUUCAGUUUGUAUUGGCCUUUGGCUAGUAUUUAUUUGGACAUUUCACUGUGAGAAAAUUGUGGUGUUUAAAAGCAGGCGUCUMUGCCUGAUCUUUUGCAGCAUGGGUAUGAUGGAACAUGACAUUUUGCGCAAUUGGUUGCGAUUAAAGUGUAAUGAUUAAUAGGGAUGGAUGGGGGUGUUCAUAUUGGUGGGCGAGAGGUGAAAUUCGUUGACCCUAUCAAGAUGAACUUCUGCGAAAGCAUUCACCAAAUACUUCCCCAUUAAUCAAGAACGAAAGUUUGGGGAUCGAAGACGAUCAGAUACCGUCGUAGUCCAAACUAUAAACUAUGUCGACCAGGGAUCGGUUAAAACUUUUUAAAAGUUUAAUCGGCACCUUGUGAGAAAUCASGAGUGUUUAGAUUCCGGGGGGAGUAUGGUCGCAAGUCUGAAACUUAAAGGAAUUGACGGAAGGGCACACAAUGGAGUGGAGCCUGCGGCUUAAUUUGACUCAACUYGGGAAAACUUACCAAGCUAAGAUAUAGUAAGGAUUGACAGACUAAGAGAUCUUUCAUGAUUCUAUAAGUGGUGGUGCAUGGUCGUUCUUAGUUGGUGGAGCGAUUUGUCUGGUCAAUUCCGAUAACGGACGAGACCUCGACCUGCUAACUAGUAGUAUUUAUUGGCCGUUAUGGAUGAUAGUCAUUCGGGGUUUGGAAGGGCUUCGGUUCUCUCCGCUUCGUGUGGUGUGUAAUCUGGUCGGAUAGGUACGAAUUAAAACUUCUUAGAGGGACUACCUGCCUCAAGCAGGCGGAAGUCCGAGGCAAUAACAGGUCUGUGAUGCCCUUAGAUACCUUGGGCCGCACGCGCGCUACAAUGUAGAAAGCAAAAAGGUUCCUGGUCCGGAAGGAUUGGGUAAUCAAUUGAAUUUUCUACGUAACUGGGAUUGAUCUUUGUAAUUAUUGAUCAUCAACGAGGAAUUCCUUGUAAGCGUAAGUCAUUACCUUAUGCUGAAUAUGUCCCUGCCCUUUGUACACACCGCCCGUCGCUCCUACCGAUCGAAUGAUACGGUAAAGCCAACGGAUAAGGUCCUAUUGGGCAACCAGUAUGGAUUUUAAAAGUUGUUUAAAUCUCAUUGUUUAGAGGAAGGAGAAGUCGUAACAAGGUAUCCGUAGGUGAACCUGCGGAUGGAUCAUUUUUCAACUCGAAACUUGAUACAAGAUUGAACCUUUGAUCUGUUUUUUUCUACAGAACGGGUUCUUUUUUGUUCCAUCUGCAAUUUCCAAACACAUUGUUUACAAAUGAUUUCUUUCUUUAUUUUAUAAUAACUGAAUCUUUUCAAUGUUUGAUAAUCUCAAAAAAAACACCUAAUUUGUUUAGCAAAUUAUUUUUCUAGUAUGUCAAACAACCAUUUAAAGAUGUUUAAGCUUUAAAUCACUAAAGCAUAAACGGUGAAUACCUCGACUCCUAAAUCGAUGAAGACCGUAGCAAACUGCGAUAAWUCACUUGAAUUGCAGCCUACUGGGAUAGUUGAAAUGUUGAACGCACAUGAUGGCAUUGGCCCUUUGGGUUAAGUGUCAUACUUGGGUGAGAGCGAUCUCUCUAUAAUAUCAAAUAUUCUAUUAGUUAAAUUAGACUUGUCUAGAAUUACAAACGAAUUUUUUGAUAUAAUAGUUUCUUUUUUAAUAAUCUCUUCGGAGUGUUUAAGAAUUAAAUUAUUUUUAUAGUUGAUCUAUAGUAGUCUUUGCAGUGGUAUAAUCGACUUUACUCCAAGAAGCCUAAAAAACUUCAGUCGAACCAUCUAAUUUGAUGACUGUUUUCUUUACUUGAAACAUUAUCUACAUUCAAUUGAAAAUGCGAAUAAAGAUUUUGAAUCGCUAUAGGUUUAGUUUACAAAUUCUUUUUAGUUGGCUCUUUAUGUUAAUUCGUCUAAAGAAUUGGAGUGAGCUUUUUAUAUAUUCCAAACACUGAUUAAGAAGCAACUUAUGAACAUUAACGGUUUAGUUUAUCUUUACUGGUUCAACAGUUGUAUAUAUUUCGCCUCAUCCAAGUAAGAUUACCCGCUGAACUUAAGCAUAUCAGUAAGCGGAGGAAAAGAAACUAACUAGGAUUCCGUCAGUAAC